rnacentral:misc_RNA from 1 species
GGAAGGAUCAUUAACACGUGAUACUCAUAUUUUGACCUGAGAUGAAGCGAGGCUACCCGCGGAAUUUAAGCAUAUUAUUACGCGGAGGAAAAGAAACUAACAAGGAUUCCCUAGUAACGGCGAGUGAAGCGGGAAGAGCUCAAGUUUAAAAUCGAUGUGCUUUAGCACUUCGAGUUGUAGUCUCGAGACAUGCUGUCUGCGGUGACGUCGGUACAAGUGCCUUGGAAGAGGUUAUCAGAGAGGGUGACAAUCCCGUCGCUGACCGACAGUUUGCCGCUUUCGACGUAUGUUCACAGAGUCGGAUUGCUUGGGAGUGCAGUCCUAAUUGGGUGGUAAAUUUCAUCUAAAGCUAAAUAUUGACGAGAGACCGAUAGCGAACAAGUACCGUGAGGGAAAGAUGAAAAGAACUUUGAAAAGAGAGUCAAAAAGUACUUGAACUUGUUAAGAGGAAGAGUUGAAAACUAGUAUUGCUCGGGUUACUUUCCCGCUCUGAUUGAAACGGCAGUGUACUUGGUGUUUAAACCCCAGUGCGCUGUUGAAUUAGUUAGAGUGGUCUCUGUAGCUUCGAGUAGGUCAGCAUCAUUUCGAAGUGUGGGAGAAAGUUGGGCGGAAGGUAGGGUCUUCGGAUCUGUUAUAGACGCCCAGCCAUACCAUGCUUUGGAUUGAGGAUGUAUCGACGCUCCGUUUUACGGAGUGACAACUUGGUGCCUCACUUGUUCUAUGCGCUGGAAAACAAUGCUUUGCUGUGUGUAGGAUAGGUGACUGCAUUAGGAAGUCACUGCGCCGACGCGAUGCUGACGAAAUGGUUUUCAUCUACCCGUCUUGAAACACGGACCAAGGAGUCUAACAUAUAUGCGAGUAUUUGGGUGGAAAACCCUGGUGCGUAAUGAAAGUAAAGGACAUGUAUUUGUCUGAGGUAGGAAUCCCGCAAGGGAGGCACUAUCGACCGAUCGUCACUUGUGAAAGAUUUGAGUAAGAGCAUAUCUGUUGGGACCCGAAAGAUGGUGAUCUAUGCCUGAACAGGGUGAAGCCAGGGGAAACUCUGGUGGAGGCUCGUAGCGAUACUGACGUGCAAAUCGUUCGUCUGAUUUGGGUAUAGGGGCGAAAGACUAAUCGAACUAUCUAGUAGCUGGUUCCCUU